rnacentral:rRNA from 1 species
AUUGAACGCUGGCGGCAGGCCUAACACAUGCAAGUCGAGGGGAGCGGCGGACGGGUGAGUAAUGCCUAGGAAUCUGCCUGGUAGUGGGGGAUAACAUCCGGAAGCGGGCGCUAAUACCGCAUAAUAUCAGAUGAGCCUAGGUCGGAUUAGCUAGUUGGUGGUGUAAAGGCCUACAAAGGCAACGAUCCGUAACUGGUCUGAGGGGAUGAUCAGUCACACUGGAACUGAGACACGGUCCAGACGCCUACGGGAGGCAGCAGUGGGGAAGACUGGACAAUGGGCUAAAGCCUGAUCCAGCCAUGCCGCGUGUGUGAAGAAGGUCUUCGGAUUGUAAAGCACUUUAAGUUGGGAGGCGUUACCAACAGAAUAAGCACCGGCUAACUUCGUGCCAGCAACCGCGGUAAUUC